UACAGAUCAGCAGCUUUGACAAAGUAGAGGAGCUGACCCAGGAUAGGAUUAGCUGGGGAGGCAAGCAGUGUGUUGUGAGCACCUGAUUGAGCUGGAACAAGACAGAAGAUGAGAAUAAAACACCCUUCAGCUCCUCACAGAAACCACUGCUAAACUUUGAGGGGGACAAGAUAAAUUUGAAGGAAGACAAUAAUUAGCUUUUCUCCUGGAGUGUAAUUCGUAAUUCAUUCUGACUGAAGAAAAAGGAGUGUUUGCUUUGUGGAGGAGGCUGAAGGUGUUUUUAUUUCCAGAAAACAUUUUUACUUUGAGAAGCACAACAUAAGGUACAUCUUAAUAUAUUACAGGCUGCACUGGCAUUCCUGGAACUCAGCAAUUCCUGUCAAUCACUAAGAGUUAAGGCCACUUCCAGAAAAUUUGAACUAUCAGCAUGGCAGCAUUAGUGCUGCAGGGACAAGUGGCAUGUCAGCAGUAGUGGAUGGAGCCAUUUACAAAUUGCAUUAAAAAAGAAGAGAGGAUUGCGGUUGCUGCUCCUGAGAGAAGAAACACGACACUGCUGGGAAGCAGGAGCAGCACAAUGCUUCACACAGGACUGAAAAAGAGACAGCAGGAAGAACUGAGAUAGCUAAAUCCAUCAAAAAAUCUCCAACCUGCUUCCUCCACUCCUUUACCCCAGAAGAUGCAUUUGAGGAUGAUUGUUCUGGAAAAAUCUCCUUGCCCUCUCUCACCCAGCAUUGGUGAAUUUGCUCUCACGUGCUGCCAUAAAGGAAUAAGUUCAACUAAAAUAAUGCAAACAAUAAACAUAAAUCAUUUUAUGGCUGGUGUGCUAUUCUUGGUAAAUUAAUCUGCUUCCUAAGCCACCCUUUCAGAGGACCUGUUUUUAUAUUUGACUUAUGGGAGCAUUUGCAGAUUGCUGUUAGGACCAAGUACCUCAACAUUACCAGUAGCUAUAAAUCAAUAUUUAUACUAUUACAGUACAACAAAUAAAUACAUGAAAAUUGCCUUUACUAAGUUUGCUCCUACUACUGAGAAACAGAAAGGAAAAGAUUAAUAGAAGCAAGCUCAAAAUUCAGCUUUCCUAUUUUAAGGAGCACCUUAGGACACGUUCACUUUAACCUACAGGGAGUGGCUCAAGUAAAGCCUGAAAUUUGGGUACUCUGGAGUGGAAAUGUCCUUGCAUAUCUGAGCUAGAUGUAUUGAUUUCUGGUGAACUGAGAUGAACUGUGCACUGUGCCCAAAGGGGAGGUGUGAAGCAUGUGUGACAGUAACAGUGAUGAGAGGGAAAUGUCACAGGACAGGACAAGGAGCCCACGCUCAAAGAUGAGCAUUGGCUGAAGAGAGAGCAGGCAGAGAAGUUGAUGAGAAAUAUGUAUUUAUCACAAAUAACGCAAUCAGGUGCUGGGGUUCUGGCACCAAGAGAUCAUCCUGUCCCUGAGCAGGGUCCCCACAGCCCCUGGCCAUGUGCAAGGACAGCCAAGCUCAGGCUGUGCCCCAGCCCUGCUUGGGACACGGUGUAGGCAGGGCUUCAAGGGAGAAACAACACACAAAGGGUGCUCUAAGCCAAACCACUGCAUCCUACACAUUUCCUUCACUUUCUCCCUGAGUAGUGUGGUUUGCAUGACCUAAACUCAAAGUAGAAACAGAUGUAAAUAUUUUGAGGCACAGGAAUUUAAACAGCCACUUUCCAUUCUCCAAGAGCAACAUGUAAAGAGUAGCAUCUCCUCUAAGUAAAAAUUCAGAGGUUCACUCUAAAGACUUCCCUACAGCUAAGAAGAUAUUCUUAAAUUCUCUACAUUGAGGCUGAAACGACAUGGUUCUACUGACAUCCCUACUCCAAAGCACUGGAUUGAAACAGAAAGAACCUGGAAACAGAAUUCAAAUAUUGUUAAAGCAUUUACUGUCUAGUUCAGGCUCAUGGUUUUGACUUGGCUUGCUUUCAGUUUUGUGACUUAUGCAUUUAUGAAGGCUUCUGUGGCUAACUAGUUUUCUUGUGGUUCUUUGUUGCAAUGUUUUGUUAACCUUCCUUUAUGUAUUUUUAAUGAAUACUACAAAUAAGAAAUGUGUAAACUCAUCCUGAGAAGAGGCUAUAAUGUCUGCCUGUGCUUUUGAUUCACUGCCUCAUUUGCAAGAUUGCUGCUUAUUCACAAAUUAAU